GUGGGGAAUCUUCCACAAUGGACGAAAGUCUGAUGGAGCAACGCCGCGUGAGUGAAGAAGGGUUUCGGCUCGUAAAGCUCUGUUGUCGGGGACGAAUGUGCAGUAUUUGAAUAAAGUACUGUAAUGACGGUACCUGACGAGGAAGCCACGGCUAACUACGUGCCAGCAGCCGCGGUAAUCCGUAGGUGGCAAGCGUUGUCCGGAAUUAUUGGGCGUAAAGGGAGCGCAGGCGGGAAGGUAAGUCGGUCUUAAAAGUGCGGGGCUCAACCCCGUGAUGGGAUCGAAACUAUCUUUCUUGAGUGCAGGAGAGGAAAGUGGAAUUCCUAGUGUAGCGGUGAAAUGCGUAGAUAUUAGGAGGAACACCAGUGGCGAAGGCGACUUUCUGGACUGUAACUGACGCUGAGGCUCGAAAGCCAGGGGAGCGAACGGGAUUAGAUACCCUAGUAGUCC
rnacentral:rRNA from 1 species